GGCUAGCUCAGCCGGUAGAGCGUCGCCUUGCCAAGGCGAAGGUCGCGGGUUCGAAUCCCGU
rnacentral:tRNA from 1 species